GUGGGGAAUUUUGGACAAUGGGCGCAAGCCUGAUCCAGCCAUGCCGCGUGGGUGAAGAAGGCCUUCGGGUUGUAAAGCCCUUUCGGCCGGGAAGAAAUCGUGCGGGCGAACAGUCUGCAUGGAUGACGGUACCGGAAGAAGAAGCACCGGCUAACUACGUGCCAGCAGCCGCGGUAAUACGUAGGGUGCGAGCGUUAAUCGGAAUUAUUGGGCGUAAAGCGUGCGCAGGCGGCGCCAUAAGACAGCUGUGAAAUCCCCGGGCUUAACCUGGGAACUGCGGUUGUGACUGUGGUGCUAGAGUACGGCAGAGGGAGGUGGAAUUCCUGGUGUAGCAGUGAAAUGCGUAGAGAUCAGGAGGAACACCGAUGGCGAAGGCAGCCUCCUGGGCUGAUACUGACGCUCAUGCACGAAAGCGUGGGGAGCAAACAGGAUUAGAUACCCCAGUAGUCC
rnacentral:rRNA from 1 species